UUUGACUCCGAUUUCCAGUGCCCAGAAGUCUUCUUUUCAGCAGUGUUUAUGUACUUAACAGCAUUUUCUGAGGUGGGCACUACAGAAUUUUCACAGCAUGGGUUCGUUGGGCUAAGACUUUGUGUACGACUUAUAUCAAGUGGAAAAGUUGACAGACAUGAGCUUUAAAAAUGGCUUUUUGUGUGUGCUCUCUCUCCAUUUGAAGCUUUCGCCUGUAUUUCCUGUUGGGCUACAGUGUUUUCCAACGUUGCCGUUAAGAGAACAAAGUCAACACUAAAAAAAUAAUUUUUUUAUUGAAGAAUAUGUUUUUCCAAGUAAAGUCAUUAUCAAAGAGACUGUCAUGAGAGAGGAAGGACCCUCCCUAAAGCCAAACAAGGAGAAAAGCUUUUUGAAGACUGUCCCUUUGGAGGAAAAAUAAGCAUGUUGUUGGGUAAGCCUGCCAUUAUGUUCCUUGUUGGUAAUCUCAUCACAGCCAAUGAUCUAAGAUCCUGGUCCACAUUCAAAGUUGUGCCCAUUUCAGCAAUAUUCAUAUAUGAAAGGAAGUGGAAGUUCCAAUCCAGAUGUGGUGACCCUUGAGAUCUUAUAUUG